AUAUGUCAACAUGAUCAGAGGGGAGGGAGCAGGGAGGGAGGAGGGAAGCGCCCGCCUCUAGGGGGGUGCUGGGGGCCGCCUCGCCCCCCGGCCCCGGCCUCCCGCCGCCCGGGCACUGCGCGGCCGCUCUCCCCGGUAGGAGCUUCCCGAGCGCCGGCAGCGGGGGGGUCCCCACGCGUGGCGGUGGGGGGGGUCCGAAGCUGCGUGCCCCCCUUCCCCAAACGCCGCCGGUACCGUAGCGGGGUCCCCCUGUGUCCCCCCCGGGCCCGGAGCCGCCUCGGGAGGCCGCCGCGCCGCACGCCCAUCCCCGCCGGUCCCCGCGGCCGCCGGGCUGGUGCACCCCCCUGCCGCUGCCCCCGCGCCGUGUUCCCCUCCCCGGCAAAGUUGCUUUCUUUCAACGACACCUCCAGGCCGGGAACCGGGCGCUUUCCUUCCCCCCGCCAAUCUGGGGGUGGCUCUGCGGCUCUUCCCCCGCUCGCAGCUCGGCUCCGGCCGCCGCUAUCAUUGUUGUGGUGGGCGCUGGCUCGGCCCCGGCCCCGGCCCCGGCCCCGGCGGCUGCUGAUCGAGGGGGUGCGCGCAGGGAAGCGGGAGGCCGCUGGAAAAUGGGAUUUUAAUGUAUUUAUUAUUCCUUUUUUUCUUUCUUUCUUCGGCGUUGCCGAUGAAGGCCACUCGGCUGGCACCGGCGCCGACAGGGUUACGCUCCCACACCCCUCCUCUUCCACGAGCAAACGCCCGGCGGCCUCAAGAAGUUUGCUGCAAUUUACCCCAAGCGGCGAGCGGGAGGUGCCCGCGGGCUCCCGCGGGACAAGCGCCGCCGCCCCCGGCCCCGCCGCCCCCGGCCCCGCGCCCGCCCCGCCGGAGCGCGCCCCCGGCGCCGCGGCACCGACCGGAGCCGCUGCCGCCCUCCGCACCUUGCGCCGCGCUCCGCACCCACCCGCGCAGGAAAAUAAAAUGUUUGCCGCUUAUGAUUUCCAACUCCAGCGUCUGUCUAAUGGCGUGCAAACUUCCGCCAGUUCCGAGUGACCUCCCCGACGAAGCCCCCCGGAGACUCGUAUUAUGAAGGGAGGCUGCACUAAUCUAAGAUCAAAAGCGGGAAGGUGCGAACAGUCUUUGUCUCCCUUCGGCCGCCUCAUUCCCCCUUCUGUGUGUGAUAAAUCUACCCUGGCGCCGACUGCGCGCUGGAUGAUUAAUUUGCAAGCAAACAAAAGGGACCUGAUGGCCAGCCAUCUUAGUUAAAUAUUGGCCAGUGCUUCCAGCUACUUGUUAGCCUCCUCUUUGCCUGAAAUAAAUAAGCGAGACGCAGGAGUAAAUAAAUAAGGAGACCCGCAAAAAUGAAUGGCAAAGCGAAGGGAUGGCACUGGAGUAAGGGAAAAAAAAAAAAAAAAAAAAAAAAAAAAAAAAAGAGAUCAGGGUGGCUGACGGUGAAGCGGGAGCGGGUGGAGGUGGGAAUGGGGCUGGUGGCGGGGGGAGCCAGGGUGAUAGCACGCUGAGAUAGCCGGCUGCCCCCGCGCCUCCCGGCCUGUCUACAGCCUGGGCUUGCACCAAGGCCGACACUAUCUUGGCUCUUCAAAGAGGCAUGAAAGGUCUCUGCUGUCUCCCCGGAGAGCGGCCAGGCCGGGGCUCUCUAAUCUCGUAGCACAAGAGCUAAAGGCCAGGGCAGGGGGAGCGGCUCCCACCCUCCCGAGCUCUUCUUCACUCCACCAUCGCCAGCACCUCGAUGGGUUUUCCCCGGCUGGAUCCAGAGCCCGGGUCUGUGGUGGCUGAGCGGCUGGGAGAGCUCCGCUUCCUCGGAUUUCACCCUCCUAAGCAACUUUUAGCGUUUGCACGAGAGCUCGGCGCUGCAGCGAGCAUUCCCCGAGCGUAUGUGUUCGAGGGGUGGGAGGAGAGAGGCUUUGGCUCUCUCCCGGUGGCCUGAAGAGCCAGCUGGAGGAAGGAGGCAAGAGGAACAUAAAGGCAGCCCAGCUUUCAGGCCCACACGUCCUCUCCCAGGCCUGCGGGAGCAGCUCCGAGGCGUGUGUGCGUGCGUGGAGGGGCUCUGUGCGCUCCACGGCCUCUGCGGAGAUGCUGUGGGCGUGUGGCACCGGGAGGGAUUCGUGCCCUGGGGCACACCGCCAAUCCCCGCUGCACAGCAGCCCCUGAGGUGUCCCUGACACCCCCUCCAUGCCCUGGAUGCUCUGCAGGAAAGAACAAGCCUCGGUGCAUGGUGAGCAGGGCCAACGUGCACAGCCUAAGUGGGGUUUUGCAUCCUAUCUAUGCAUUUCCUUAUCGUGCUGCCUGUUCCAAGCAUCCCCAGGGGCCCAGACCCAUCCUGCCUGCCAGCAGCUCUGCAUCCUGCAGGAUUUAUCCCUCUCCUCCCUCCCUUUCCCACGGCAAUGCAACCUCUGCUCUGUCUCCAGCCCUUCAGAAGGCAACACCCCAGCGUGGCCACGCUGUGUUUAUCCGAAAUAAAACGCAGCGGGCUGGUUUACUUUGGCAGGUUUGCAGUAAAUACUGGCUGGAGCGCAGGGGGCAUCUGGGGAGUGGUGAUUACACGCUUCUUCCGAGGGAAAGUGUGCCCAGCCCCGGGCAGGCCCUUCCCCAGCCCCACAAAAGGUGUCAGGGGAUGGGGGCCCUGUUGACACAGAUCCAUCCCAGAGUGGCACUGCAGGCCACAAGUGUAAUGGAGCAGCUCCCUUAGGGAGCUCGUCUAUACACUUGGAUCGUACAAGCUGCUAUGGGGAGAGUGGGGAAUCACUGCAGCAGUUCUUUGCUUUCCCCUUUGGCAGAACACUUCCUCCAAUUGCAAAUUGGAUUUCACGGAAAGUCUGGCCCAAAAACUUAAAAAAAUAAUCUCCCAGAGUUUAAAAAAGCAUUGUGAGGCAUUAAAAAUAUUGAGAAUUAAGUCUCCCAUGUCUCCCUCCCUGAGCAGGCUCAGCCCCAUCGUGUCCCACUGCAAUCAAAGGGGCCUGAACAGAAGAUCCCCCACCAGGGGGAUCAGGCCCCCUUCCCAACACAACCGAGGGCUUUGCAGAGUUGGGGGAAGCCCAGACGCAGCAUUGCUUGUUGUAAUUCUGGGGGGAAAAAGAGAGGAAGGCACCACUUGGAGAGGUUUCUCCUCCAGCACCUCUCACUGGGAUGCAGUGUCAGGGGAAGGCUGCUCGUGGCCCAGCCUGGUGGGAGCGGUGCAGCACUGAGUGUGGCAGAGGCACCGUGGGGUCAGGCAGUGCUGUCCCCAGCACGGGGUCACCACCAUGCUGGCACUGAGCAGCCCUUCACAGCCCCCAACCCCCUCACUCCUCCUGGCACCCAGAGCCCGGUCGGGAUCCUGCCAAAACAUCGGGGCUCCAGGUGCUCACAUCACCAGCCCUGCCCCAGUUCCUCCCCUCCUCACAAGACCUGCGUUCAUCUCAUCCCCAUCCCAGCUGCUCUGACAUUCUCCAGUUGCCUCCACUGUGUCCCAGACUGGAAAAGAAAAGAAAGGAGCACCCAGAGCUGCCUGCUGCAGCUCUCCCCUCUGCCUCGGGCCAGGCCCAGCCUCACCGACCAAGGCAUGUCAGGGCACAGCAAGGUUUGGGGCUGGACCUCUUCCCUCCCAAGCUCACAUCCCUUUUUACCUUUUCUGAGUCCUUUUUGCACCAUUCAGCUUCUGCUUGCCACAAACCAACACCCUCUGCACUCACAGAUCUGGCGACCCUUUCCACCCCCUGGUCUUGUUCUUCUCACCAAUGUGUUGCUGGCAGAAACAAAAUGAAAGUCCUGUUUCCUCCCUUGCCCUCUCUACACCCAUCCUUCUGCUUCCACCAUCGUUGGCCGAGCAGAAAUUGUAAAUAGAGUUCACUAUUUGGAUAAGGCUUUUUUUUUUUUUAAUACCCAAGCCAUACAUCCAGUUUGCCGCUCAGGAAGUCGCGCUAAUUGUCCUUUCCUAUAGUCAAACAGAUCUAUCUUUUCAAUGCUGUCUUUGUGUCUCUGCGUGCGAGGGAGAAAGAGAGAAUGAGUGGAUAGGUUUAUUCAAUUAUUUAAACACACACACAAGACAACAAGAGGGCCAAGGAGCACCGGUUCCUCCCGCAGAACCCUCCGGCUCUCCAGCCGCGGCGUUGACCCCCACCUCCCCGCAGACCCAGUAGAACAAGGCACUCGAGAGCAAAGAAACCGAUUUUAUCUGCUUUGACCAUCAGCCGUGUUCUUUAACAACCCAGAACCGGAGCCUUUCCCAUCUCCACACGCCCCCCGGGCGUCUCCUCC
rnacentral:lncRNA from 1 species